GGACUACACGGGUAUCUAAUCCUGUUCGCUCCCCACGCUUUCGCUCCUCAGCGUCAGUAUCGGCCCAGAAUGCCGCCUUCGCUACGGGUGUUCCACCUGAUAUCUGCGCAUUUCACCGCUCCACCAGGUAUUCCACAUUCCCCUACCGAACUCUAGUCAUGGCAGUAUCGAAUGACCCCUCCAAGUUGAGCCUGGAGAUUUCACAUCCGACUUACCAAACCGCCUACGAGCUCUUUACGCCCAAUAAAUCCGGACAACGCUCGCCCCCUACGUAUUACCGCGGCGGCUGGCAC
rnacentral:rRNA from 1 species